UGGGGAAUAUUGCACAAUGGGCGCAAGCCUGAUGCAGCCAUGCCGCGUGUAUGAAGAAGGCCUUCGGGUUGUAAAGUACUUUCAGCGGGGAGGAAGGGAGUAAAGUUAAUACCUUUGCUCAUUGACGUUACCCGCAGAAGAAGCACCGGCUAACUCCGUGCCAGCAGCCGCGGUAAUACGGAGGGUGCAAGCGUUAAUCGGAAUUACUGGGCGUAAAGCGCACACAGGCGGUUUGUUAAGUCAGAUGUGAAAUCCCCGGGCUCAACCUGGGAACUGCAUCUGAUACUGGCAAGCUUGAGUCUCGUAGAGGGGGGUAGAAUUCCAGGUGUAGCGGUGAAAUGCGUAGAGAUCUGGAGGAAUACCGGUGGCGAAGGCGGCCCCCUGGACGAAGACUGACGCUCAGGUGCGAAAGCGUGGGGAGCAAACA
rnacentral:rRNA from 1 species